rnacentral:tRNA from 1 species
GCAACAGUGGUCUAACGGUUAUGAUCCGGUCUUCCCAUCAAUGUCCUUGACUGGCCGGGAAAGGGGUUCGACUCCCCUCUGUUGCA